rnacentral:tRNA from 1 species
GCAUGGCUUAGUGGUUAGGGCAUUCGACUCAUGAUUGUAAGGUUGUGAGUUCAAUUCCCGUCAAUGCG